CAAUAGCGUAUAUUAAAGUUGUUGCAGUUAAAAAGCUCGUAGUUGAAAUUUUAGUCUCUCUUACCGCAACAUAUCGCUUACGGCUAGAAAGUCUAAUACUCGCAAAGAUACCUCUGCUCAUUAAUUUGGGCGGUUGUGGAGUUGCGUCGUUUACUGUGAACAAAUUAGGGUGUUUAAGGCAAGCUUUAGUUUGAAUACAUUAGCAUGGAAUAAUAAGAUAUGAUUUUGAAAGUAUUUUGUUGGUGACAUUCGAAAUAAUGAUAAAUAGGAACAGUUGUGGGUAUUCGUAUGAGCAUGUCAGAGGUGAAAUUCUUGGAUUUUGAUCAGACGAACUACUGCGAAAGCAUUUACCAGGGAUGUUUUCAUUAA
rnacentral:rRNA from 1 species